rnacentral:rRNA from 1 species
UACGGAGGGUGCAAACGUUGCUCGGAAUUAUUGGGCGUAAAGCGCACGUAGGCGGCCCGUUAAGUCGGAUGUGAAAGCCCUCGGCUCAACCGAGGAAGUGCAUCCGAAACUAGCAGGCUUGAGUAUGGAAGAGGGUCUCGGAAUUCCCGGUGUAGAGGUGAAAUUCGUAGAUAUCGGGAGGAACACCAGUGGCGAAGGCGGAGACCUGGGCCAAUACUGACGCUGAGGUGCGAAAGCGUGGGGAGCAAACAGG